rnacentral:rRNA from 1 species
AGUGAACGCUGGCGGCGUGCCUAAUACAUGCAAGUCGAACGGAGUGGCGCACGGGUGAGAAAUAUAUAGCUAAUCUGCCCCUUGCUGGAGGACAACAGUUAGAAAUGCCUGCUAAUACUCCAUAGCAAGGGAUGAGACUAUAACGUAUCAGCUAGUCGGUGGGGUAACGGCCUACCGAGGCUAGGACGCGUAACUGUUCUGAGAGGAUGAGCAGUAACCUGGGAACUGAGACACGGUCCAAACUCCUACGGGAGGGAGCAGUAGGGAAUAUUGCGCAAGGGGGGAGUCCCUGACGAAGCAACGCCGCGUGGAGGAUGACACUUUUCGGAGCGUAAACUCCUUUUGUUAUGGAAGCGGUACCUAACGAAUAAGCACCGGCUAACUCCGUGCCAGCAGCCGCGGUAAUAC